CGAUUUUUUUCUUUCAAUAUAAUUGACAUUUUUAUUUGGGACUCUUAAGCCAUUUACAAUUUAUAUAUGUAUUGAUAUGAACGUACUUAUGCUUGCAAAUUGGCUGGGUUUUAUAUUUUCUUUCCUGAUCAAUUUUUCCCUAGCAUAUUUUUUAAUUAAACAGGAGUCUUUAAAUUUCUGGCUUAGUAUUUCUUAGUUAUGUGUUUACAAAGAGUCCUCAGGUUUACAAAGCACACUCAUUGCUUACCAUAGUCUGUGGAUGAAAGGAAAGAAUAACAAGUUGAUUCUCUCCUUUCACCAUGAGGGUUCUGGAAUAAGGCUCAGGUUGUCAGGCAGAGAAACAAGUGCUUUCUGGUUUUGUUUUUUGUUUUUUGUUUUCUACUGAUCCUUCCUCAUCUCCUUACUAUCAUUCACCUCAGCAUCCUUCCCAUUUUCCUUCCUCUCACUGUUUUUGUUACUGUAGUAAUUUUUCUCUCAAUAACUCACAUGGUUAAAGUAAUAAUAACGUUUUGUUGUUACUGUUUUGUCCCUUAGAUAUCUCAGAAGCUGGGCUGGAGAAAUGGCUUAGAGUAUUUGACACAAAAUAAUGAGAACCUGAGUGUAAAGAAAAUGUGCAAUAAGGUAUAUGAGAGAAGAGCUGACCCAUGACUGUGAGCAAAAAAGGCACUGAAAGAAGAAGAAAGAACCCAGUAUCCAAGAGGAUGUCCCCACCUCCAC